GGGGGUAUAGCUCAGUUGGGAGAGCGCCUGCUUUGCAAGCAGGAGGUCAGCGGUUCAAUUCCGCUUACCUCCA
rnacentral:tRNA from 1 species